UUUCUUUGCAAUUUUCACAAUCAGAAUGUUUGGACUCGCGCGGCGCAGCAGCCGUCAACAAAGAGAGGAGAAGAGAUAUAGAGAGAAAGAGAGAGAGAGAGAGAGAGAGAGGAAAGGAAAAGGCACAUAACUAAAAAAUCGCAUGAAGACCCCAGUAUCCUUUACUGCGCUCACAUAUUAAAAAAGUCAGCUGAUAUACAAUUCUCGGAGUUCUCUGGCUCGCGUGGCGCAAAAGGCGAGAGAAAAGAGAGAAAGAGAGAAAACGAUGGAGAACCAUGGUUUGCGCGUGUGUCGCAAUGUCCCUUAACGGCUGACGGCUGUUAGAGAACCGGUCGACCUCGAUACACCUCAGCCUGCCUCUCCGCUGCGCAGUACACCGGCUAAUAUACGUAUUCUCGAUACGAGCACCAUGUCCGGUUUCAAUGUACACGCGCGAUUAUUUCUACGAUUGGUAAAUUUGUCUAAUACGUGCGUAAUUAGACUCUUACGCGCAUCGUUUCUUUUUCGAUCUUUCGGCGAUCGAACGGAAACUGUUUCUUGUGUUUCUUGCGUUUUAUCAGUUGUAACAGGAACACUGUGUGCAAUUGGUUCGCUAUUCUGUAACUUGUGAAACUGAAGUCACGUGAAGCAAAUAUUAAUAGGAAUUUUAAUUCUCAGUUGGUAUCGUUGAGUCGUAGAUAACCACGUCAGUUUUGGAUACAUUUAAUUUAGAUGUUUUCAAGAUAUUAAAUUUUUAUCUGAAUUCUAUAUCUUACACGAUAAAUAUCAUCGAUGGGUUUCACUAUGUAAAAUAUAAAAUUUCUUAAUUAAGAUUUACAAAUUAGUACCAACUUUAAUCGGUCGAACCAUUAAUUUGAAUUAAUUUGAAUUAAUUUUAAAAAUUUGUCUUUUGAUCUGCAUUAUUCUGAAAAGUUCACCUGAAAGUGUUUUCUUCGAGAAAAAUAUGCGAUUGAAUAGAAAAAGAAGACCACGUAACCCAGCCACCAGUAGUCGAGAAUAUAUCGGCCAUUUUUCUCCAACCAACCGCAGCGGUCACUAUGUUUAGGCAGUGAGACCGGUAUACGUAUCACGGGGAAUCGGAACAAGAUACACACCGGUAAUACAUUGAGGGAUUCGUAAUUGGGUCCGAUCGGAUCCCUGCCGAUGAAGUUAUCGCAAGAAAUAGUCCAGGCAAUUAGCUUGCUCGAUAAUUACCGGUGCUCGCUCUGUCUGUUAAAAAACGACCACGGUCGAAGAGGAAAUUGACAGCACGGUUACGCUUGCCACUCGUUGCUUUUGCGUACUAAAUCGCCUAUAUCAAAACUACACGAAAAAUCUUGUCUCUUAUGUUUCACUUUAUUAUAAACUCUGCUUCAUUACAUAUACAUCAAUGCGUUCUUCUUAUUCCAUAGACAAAAGCAUUAAGCUACUUGUGUGUAGACAUGUUUAAUUUAAGAUAUUUAAAUUUUAAUUUCACAAAAAUUUUUCAAUUUCUUGUCUUGCAUGGAAGACAUAAAGGCGUCUUUCCUUCUUUUCAUAUA